rnacentral:rRNA from 1 species
GACGAACGCUGGCGGCGUGCUUAACACAUGCAAGUCGAACGGAAAGGCCCUGCUUGCCGGGUGCUCGAGUGGCGAACGGGUGAGUAACACGUGGGUGAUCUGCCCCUUACUUUGGGAUAAGCCUGGGAAACUGGGUCUAAUACUGGAUAGGACCAUGCUGUAGGUGGUGUGGUGGAAAGAUUAGUUUCGGUAAGGGAUGAGCUCGCGGCCUAUCAGCUUGUUGGUGGGGUAAUGGCCUACCAAGGCGUCGACGGGUAGCCGGCCUGAGAGGGUGGACGGCCACAUUGGGACUGAGAGACGGCCCAGACUCCUACGGGAGGCAGCAGUGGGGAAGAUUGCACAAUGGGCGCAAGCCUGAUGCAGCGACGCCGCGUGGGGGAUGACGGCCUUCGGGUUGUAAACUCCUUGCAGCCAUGACGAAGCCCUUGUGGUGACGGUAGUGGUAGAAGAAGCACCGGCUAACUACGUG